rnacentral:rRNA from 1 species
GAGGGGCCCGCGCCCGAUUAGCUUGUUGGUAGGGUAACGGCCUACCAAGGCCUUGAUCGGUAGCCGGUCUGAGAGGAUGGCCGGCCACACUGGAACUGAGACACGGCCCAGACUCCUACGGGAGGCAGCAGUGGGGAAUCUUGCGCAAUGGGCGAAAGCCUGACGCAGCGACGCCGCGUGGGGGAUGAAGCUUCUCGGAGUGUAAACCCCUUUCGACCCGGACGAAUGGCCCGCAAGGGACGUGACGGUACGGGUAGAAGAAGCCCCGGCUAACUACGUGCCAGCAGCCGCGGUAAGACGUAGGGGGCCAGCGUUGCUCGGAAUUACUGGGCGUAAAGGGUCCGUAGGCGGUGCGGCAAGUCGGGGGUGAAAUCUCUGGGCUUAACUCAGAGGCUGCCUCCGAAACUGCCGUGCUCGAGUGCGGGAGAGGCGAGCGGAAUUGCAGGUGUAGCGGUGAAAUGCGUAGAUAUCUGCAGG